GAUGAAGAACGUAGCGAAAUGCGAUAAGUAAUGUGAAUUGCAGAAUUCAGUGAAUCAUCGAAUCUUUGAACGCACCUUGCACCCUUUGGACUGCUCCAAAGGGUAUGCUCGUUUGAGUGUCAUUGUACUCUCACACUCUCUGAUCCUUUGGAUUUGGGGAGCAGUGGACUUGGGUGCUUGCUGCUUCCUUGUGGCUCACCUGAAAUGCAUCAGUGCAUCUCUCGAUUGGACAUAGUACGGCGUGAUAAGUGUCUUCGCCGGCUCCUCGCAAAGAGGGUGGCCGAUCGGGAGCUCUGUUGCUUCAAACUGUCUUCGGACAAUCUUCUGGCGACUUGACCUCAAAUCGAGUAGGACUACCCGCUGAACUUAAGCAUAUCAAUAAGCGGAGGA
rnacentral:misc_RNA from 1 species